AGUAAAAAGGGUAGAAAACCCUAAAAUUUAAUCAUUCUUUCUUUUGGCUUCACUGUGAAGCUUCUUCAACCGGCAUGCAAGCAUUUUUUUUAACUAGGGUUUGAGUAUGAGGCUUGAAAUGCUACUAAAUUGUGACUUCAACUGGGUCUUCAGAUGGAUGUUGCAUGAUUUGCAUGACACUCUAGGAGUACUAGGAGCAUGAAGAUGAAGAUGCAACUUCAACAAACCAUCGGUUCAUCAUUGAAAGGCACUGACGGAUCUUUCUCUCUCUCUCUCUCUAUUUAUACAUGUUCAUAUCAUUCUAUUUGUUGUACUUUUCCAGUCAUACCCACGGCUCGUGUGGGUCCUUACACAUUUAUGUAAAUGAAAAAGCUUAUUUCA